AAUACCAAACACUCAUUUACAAACACAAAGGGUUUAAAUACAACACUGGACUUUCUACAAAAUAGACCAGCUCGACAAAAGGGGAACUAUCCUACAACCAACUAGCAGGACACGCUCUCCAACCCUUAUGACUUCACCUCUGCAACUCCUCAAGACCAACCAAAGCUAUCUGGCCGCUCCGUCCACCAGGGACCUGAAAUUUUAAUCCCACAACCGGGAUGAGAC
rnacentral:lncRNA from 1 species